GAUGAACGCUGGCGGCGUGCUUAACACAUGCAAGUCGAACGAGAAGUGGAGACGGAAACCUUCGGGCGGAAGACUUUAUUUCGAGUGGCGGACGGGUGAGUAACGCGUGGGUAACCUGCCUCAUACAGGGGGAUAACAGUUGGAAACGACUGUUAAUACCGCAUAAGACCACAGCACCGCAUGGUGCGGGGGUAAAAACUCCGGUGGUAUGAGAUGGACCCGCGUUCGAUUAGCCAGUUGGCGGGGUAACGGCCCACCAAAGCGACGAUCGAUAGCCGAUCUGAGAGGAUGACUGGCCACAUUGGGACUGAGACACGGCCCAAACUCCUACGGGAGGCAGCAGUGGGGAAUAUUGCACAAUGGGGGAAACCCUGAUGCAGCGACGCCGCGUGAGUGAAGAAGUAUUUCGGUAUGUAAAGCUCUAUCAGCAGGGAAGAAAAUGACGGUACCUGAGUAAGAAGCCCCGGCUAACUACGUG
rnacentral:rRNA from 1 species